CAUUGUCUAUUCCAGUUUUAAACUUUAAUUAGAAAACGUCCCUCAACGAAGUCUAAAAGUCUUAACAUACCUUGAAUGCCGAACACGUGUCACAAAUCCUCAAGAUUUCGCCUUUCCCUUUCGUAAAGCUUCAGAAUGUUCCCAAUCUAUCAAAUAUGUAAUAUUCGUAAGCAAGCAAGUCCAUAGACACCUAUAUUACUAUAUGUUUAUCCUAUACUAAAACUUAUCCAAUAUAUAAUAAAUUUCCUAAAUCUCAAGCCUUGAAAAACUUAAAGAAAGAAAUAAGCAUUAGAAAAAUUCUCUUCUGUGUAUUCAUCUAUAGUAGCCUCCCUAUUUAUACAAGUUGUUCAUUCUUAUCCUAUCAUAAAAAAGGAAUCCAAAUCUUAACUAACUCUAACAAAUUCAAAUAAUAAAAAAGUAAAAAAGGAAAUAUUUACAUAUCAAUUACACCUAUAUCCUUUCUAGAAUCUUCUAAAUGAUACAGCUCAUGCUUCUCUUUCAUUUUAUCAAAACAAGGCACAUGUACUGCCAACUGUCUCAUUACUUUCUUCUUCUUCUUCUUCUUCUUCUUCUUCUUCGUUUCAUCAUAGACUUUAGGUUCUUUUCUCUUUUUCAUUAACGGGAAUAUUAUCUCUGAAUUUUCCGACAACACCCCUCCUCAAGUUGGAACCCGAAGUUCGGAGACCCAACUUGCUCAAAAAUGCUCAAUGUAAAGGUCCUGCAAGAGAUUUGGUAAACAAUUCUGCGAGCUGAGAUGAAGAAGGGACAUAGGAUAGUGAUAUCAGCCCAUCCAGUAAUUUUUAUCGAACAAAAUGACAAUCCAGUUCGAUGUGCUUUGUGCGCUCGUGAAAGACUGGAUAUUUUGCUAUAUGUAUUGCUGCCUGACUGUCACAACAAAGAGGUACCGACAAAGAGGGUUCUGCUGAUAAAUCAUUUAGCAACUGCACUAUCCAUGUAAUUUCUGCCACUAUACGUCUCAUGGAUCUAUAUUCAGCUUCUGCAGAACAGAGGGCCACCACUGGCUGUUUUUUUGAUUUUCAAGAAAUUGGACAUCCUCCUAAACUUAAGAAGAAUCUACUCACUGAUCUCCUGGUUUCUGAGCAAGAUGCCCAAUCUGAAUCGCAAUAAGCCAAUAGUUGAAAUAUUGGCUCAGAUGUUAAAUAUAAUUUGAAACCUGGAUCAUUGCAUAAAUAUCUUAAUGUAUGCAUCGUUGCUUCAUAAUGUCCAGAACAGGGAGAGUGCAUGUAUUGACUCAAGGUUUGGACAAUGUAAGACAAAUCUGGUCUUGUAUUGGUUAAAAAGUUUAAUUUUCCAAUGAGUCGUCUAUAAAUUAUUGGAUUUGGGAGAGGCCUGCCACAUUCUGAUGUGAGCUUGAGAGUGGGAUUCAAUGGAGUGGAAACAGAUCUUGAAUCAGGACAGUCAAAUUCUUUGAGGAGCUCUAGAGUGAAUUUCCUUUGUGUGACAACCAAUCCACCCCCCUCACGAACAAGCUCCAGGCCUAAAAAAUAGUGAGCAAGCCCCAAAUUUUUUAUUUGAAAUUCAGAAUCCAUAAAUGUUUUAAUGGCAGAAAUUCAGAAGAAUUAUUUCCUGUGAGCAAAAUAUCGUCAACGUACACAACAAGAAUUGCGAUGAGAGGACCAGAAACUUUGAAAAAUAAGGAAUAGUCAUUACGAGAGGCGGUAAAGCCUCUAGUCUUCAAAGCAGAAGAUAGUUUGGCAUACCAUUGUCGAGAUGCCUGCUUCAAACUAUACAUAGAUUUACGUAAGCGACAAACCGUAGAUGGAGAAGGAGCAGGCAAUCCCGGAGGAAAUCUGAUGUAGACUUCCUCAUCCAAAUCACCAUGAAGAAAGGCGUUAUUGACAUCCAGCUGGAAUAAAUCCCACUUCCUUUUAACAACUAUUGAAAGAAGGCAUUGGAUGAUUGUCAUCUUGACAACAGGACUGAAAGUUUCAAAAUAAUCCAAGCCUUCCCUAUGUGUAUCUCCCCAAAUAACUAGUCGCGCCUUGAGUCUCUUCAAAAUCCCAUCAGACUUUAGUUUGACCUUGUAAACCCAUUUGCAAGGCAAAACAACUUUUCUAGGAGGUAAUGGGACAGCUUCCCAGGUAUGAUUUGUUUCUAGUGCCGCAAACUCUUAAGUCAUUGCAGCCUUCCAUCCAGGGUGCAACACUGCUUGUUGAUAAGAAUGUGGUUCUUGUAUUUGGCAAAUAGAGGUGAGAAUAGAUUGAUUGUGAGGGGAAAGUGCAGCAAAAGCAAAAGAAUGCAGAGGAAGACAAGGAGCGUCAGGAGAAAUAAGAGAAGAGGCAGAAUUACAAAUAUAAUCCGAAAGAAAUAUAGGAGCAGAAUGUACUCGUUGUGAUUUGUGCAAUACCUGGCCAUGUGGAGAAGGUAACACCAGAGUAGGAACCUGCACAGUAGCAUCAGUAGAAAUAGGGGACUGAGAUGGAGAAAUAUUAGAAACAGGAGUAGGUAUAAAAGAAGUAGGAGAUGGAGGUGGAGCGAUGGAGUCAGAAAAAGAGGUAACUGGAGAAGAAGUAGGCGGAGGAGAAUAGUCUGUGCUAGGAAAAGAAGAGGCGGGAAACAGCUUCUGAAGAGGAGUUGAAUAGGCGAAAGGAAAAAUAUGCUCAAAGAACUUGACAAUCCUGGAGAUAAUGAUUUGAUUUGUCUGCAAAUUGAGAGUCUUGUACCCUUUCUUCCCAAAAAGGUAUCCCAAAAAACACAAGGAACAGCACGAGGGCUCAAUUUGUCCCUGUGUCGAGGCAAUGUAGAGGUAAAACAUAAACAUCCAAAGGGUCGGAGAUAGUUAUAAUCAGGAACUUUCCCAAAAAGAAUUUGGUAGGGUGAUUUAUUGUGUAAAACUUUAGAAGGGAAUCGAUUUAGUAAAUAAGUGGCAGUCAACAAACAGUCUCCCCAAUACUUCUUUUGGGUAUGAAAUUGAAAGAGAAGAGCCCGACAAGUCUCUAAUAAGUGCGUAUGCUUGCGCUCGACGAUGCCAUUGUGUUGCGGGGUAUCCACACAAGUGGUUUGAUGUAAAAUUCCUUGAGAUUGUAGAAAAACUUUAUGUUCAAAACCAGAACCCAGUUCAAAGGCAUUGUCCGAUCUAAUGAUUUGGACUUUGACAGAAAAUUGUCGAUCAAUGAAGGAUAAAAAAGAUUUGAAAGAGGAAAAAGAAUCAGAUUUGGUACUUAAGAGAAAUGUCCAAGUACAUCUAGAGAAAUCAUCAACUAUAGUCAAAAAAUAUUUUUCAGCUCUGUAAGUUGGAGUAUUAAAAGGCCCCCAAGUGUCAAUAUGUAGUAAUUGAAAGCAACUAGUUGAAGAGAUAGAACUAAGAGGGAAUGGUGGCUUAGUUUGUCUAGCCAUAGGACAUAUAUCGCAAGGAAAGUCAUCUUUCUCAGUAAAAGAGACAGUAGGAAUAUGUUUCAUAGCCGCAUAAGGCAAGUGCCCAAGUCUAUAAUGCCAUAAUUUAGAAGAAGAGAAAACAUUGGAAACAGAAACAACUUUAUUGAUAGCUGAAAUAGUAUUGCAAACAGGACUUAUGACAGAAUGGCUUGAAAACCUUGAAGAAACUUACUCUUGAGAUAAAGAACUAGACAUAUGACUCUGAACUUGUGACAAUAAACUAGACUGGCGCAGACUUGGAGUGAUCGAAGCUGAGGUAGAAUGUUGCAGGGAGGUGUUACUUCUCAGCACAUAGAGCCUUGUAUUGGCUUCACCAAAAAAAGGUUCAUUCUUCAUUGAAGGGACCUGCAUAGCAUAUCCAAAUUUAGAAAAAAUUAAGUCACAAUCAAACUGCUCACAAAGCCUAUGAACAUAAAGAAGAUUUUUCUUAAAAGAAGGGAUAAAUAGAACAUUGUGGAGCUCUAAGUCGCUAGCCAGAUGCACACUACCUACUACAUGCACUUUGAGUUUGUAGGAAUUAGGAAAUGUGACUGAAAUUGGAGAGUCUAAAUAUUUAAGGUUAUGCAAAAGAGUUUGAUCAAACGUCAUAUGUUGUGAAGCCCCAGUAUCAAUGAUCCAAAAUUUACUGCUUGAAGGAGAAAAUAAAGAACCAAAGAUAUUACCAUCAUCUCUAGUUUGAUGUUGAGAAAAAAGAGAAAAGAAAAUAUUACAAACAGUAGCUGUACCAGCCAGAUUUGCACUAGCAGAUGCCUCAGAGUUUCCAGCACUAGGAUCAUCACACUGCAUGGUCUGGAAAGCUUUGGACAAUUUCUCACAUUGUGCCUUGCUAAAAGGUUUAUUGGUGAUGAAGUUCAACAUGUUGUCUCUUGGAUUUGUGGAGGAAUGGACACCUCCUGUUUGGACUGCAUUAGCAUAAGAAUCUGAGUUUCCCUCUUGCUUCUGUUUCUGACCAUUAAACUUAAAAUGGGGAGAUAUCCAAUAAGCUUGUAGCAGUUUGCUUUGAUAUGAUUAGUCUUCUUGCAAUAUCUGCAGAAUAAGUCCGUUUGUUUCACUUCAUGGGUUCCUUCGUGUUGUCCAGCUUUACUAUCAAACUGCUUCUUUGGAGGUGUCCAUCUUUGAGCACCUUUUUGAUUCACAAAAAAUGCAGAAGCAUCAGUAGACAUAGAAUUGUUAUUAUGUACCUGUUUUUGGGAUUCCUCAUGUAAUACGAUAGAAUAAGCCUGAGAUGCUGUUGGAAGUGGUUUAAUCAUCAAUAUAUUCCCUCUUGCAGCGCUAUAACCUUCAUUGAGCUCCAUCAGAAAUUGUAGCAACUUUUGAUCCUCAUUCAUUUUGUGAUUAUGUCCUUUAGCUCCACAUUUGCAAUCACAGGUGCAGAUCAUGAAAGUAUUCAAUUCCUUCAUCUGAUCCCAGGCUUUUUUUCAGGUUGGUGAAAUAACCAGCUACAUUAUGAGAUCCCUGAGUCAUAUUGAUGAGUUCCCUUUGUAGCUAAACAACUUGGUUCCAUCAGCCUGUCUAUAUCUCUUUUCUAAUUCUCCCCAUAAUUCAACAGCAGUCUGAGAGUAAAGAACACUCUCAGCUAUGUCUUUGCUCAAGGCAUUAAGAAGCCAGGAGAGAACCAUGUCAUUACAUCUUGGCCAAUGAACUAACAAAGUACUCUCUGUGUCUGGAAUUUUGAAGGAUCCAUUGAUAAAACCAAGCUUAUUUUUGGCUGAGAGGGAGAUUAGAACCCCUCUUUUUCAGCUACCAAAGCUGGUACCAUCAAAGCUUGUAUUGAUCAGAUUCAUGCCAGGUGAAUCUGAAGGAGAAAGGAAAUAAGGGUGUGAGACAUCUAUCUGCUCACUAGUUUUCUUAGAAGAAAUUCAUGUCUCUUCACCCAUUGAUUAGAGUUGAAGGAAGCAGAAAAUGAUUCUUAGAUGAGUAAAAAAUAAAUAGAAACAAUAUGAAUCUAGAGUGGCUCUGAUACCAUGAAAAACUUAAAGAAAGAAAUAAGCAUUAGAAAAAUUCUCUUCUGUGUAUUCAUCCACAGUAGCCUCCCUAUUUAUACAAGUUGUUCAUUUUUAUCCUAUCAUAAAAAAGGAAUCCAAAUCCUAACUAACUCUAACAAAUUCAAAUAAUAAAAAAGUAAAAAAGGAAAUUAUUUACAUAUCAAUUACACCUAUACCCUUUCUAGAAUCUUCUAAAUGAUACAGCUUAUGCUUCUCUUUCAUUUUAUCAGAACAAGGCACAUGUACUGCCAGCUGUCUCAUUUCUUUCUUCUUCUUCGUUUCAUCAGAGACUUCAGGAUCUUUUCUUU
rnacentral:lncRNA from 1 species